rnacentral:rRNA from 1 species
UACGUAGGGAGCAAGCGUUGUCCGGAAUCAUUGGGCGUAAAGCGCGCGUAGGUGGCUUCGUAAGUCCGUUGUGAAAGUCAAAGGCUCAACCUUUGAAAGCCGAUGGAUACUGUGGAGCUAGAGUACGGAAGAGGCGAGUGGAAUUCCUGGUGUAGCGGGUGGAAUGCGCAGAUAUCAGGAGGAACACCAAUAGCGAAGGCAGCUCGCUGGGACGUUACUGACACUGAGGCGCGAAAGCGUGGGGAGCGAACAGG